CAAAAUUAACCCUAUUUUAGCCUUAAUUGUUGAUAUCUAAUUGUCUUAAAAAAAACUGUCUGGCAACCUCACAACUAUAAGAUAUAUUAAUUACCUUCCUUCUCAAACCUCUAAAUUGAAGCAAUAGAAAUUCCAUAAUGUGUUGGGGAAACUAAUUGCUCACCAAGUAAAGCAAAAAGCAUGUUUCUUAUCUCGUGUGAUUAAGCAAUGCAGAGUAAAGUUCCCAUCAAUUUCAUUACUCCAUAAAUAUAAAAGGCAAAUCAGGGGAUAAAACCUUGUAGGGCCUUCAAAUCUGUAACUGAUCAUGAGGUUGAUUCUAUGAAGCACCAUUAAACUGCCUUUCCCUUGAAGGGACUUUAGCAUUCCAUAUGAAAUUAGAAAGAGGGGGAAAAUCACAAUUUGGAACACGAACAAGAAAGUAUAGAAUCAGAAUUUGUGUCCUUGAAUUUUUUGUGGAACAAAGUGGUGUUUCAACUUUUAUGUGGAUUUAUGCUUCUGGAGCUUUUAGGGGAAUUUCCUUGAGCUGUUUUGUAACUUGGUUAGACUUAGCUUGUUUUUUAUGCUUUUGUGGUUGUCUAUUGAAUUUUGUACGAGGAUUCCUUGUCUUUUAAUUAAAUUUCUUCUCAUAAAAAGAAAAAAAGAGCCUCACAUUGCAUUGUAGGACACAAGAAGCAUAAUUUCUGGUAUUUUAUUCAUGGAAAAUCUUGUUAAUAAAGAACUACUAUUAUUUGUAGUUUUAAAUAACUUUAAACCUAUUAUCAUAUAACUCUAAAAAUUUAUAAUUAUUCAAACUCCAAACAAAGGUCCCUACUUUUUUUCAGCUACUAGACUAAUUAUGACUUUAUUAUAGACUUAAUUUAAGACCCAAAACAUUGCAACUUAGCUCAAUCCAGUAAGGCUAGAAAUUAUUAAAAUAUUCCAAAGUCUUAAAACCAAUGAUAAAUACUUAAUUCAACAACUAAUUGUUUGAAAUAAACAUAAAUACGAAACUAAAGUACAUCUUUACAACUGGAAAAGACUUUAUGAGAUCCCAAAACUAAUCUAGGCCAAAUAUAGGAAGUUUCUUGAUUUUUCUUCUUGUUUUUCAUGGAGCUUCUUUUUGGCUGCAUCAAGUGCCUGUCCAUACUAUUUCUU
rnacentral:misc_RNA from 1 species